CUACACAAUAUUUUAAUACUAUUGACUAUAUUAUUGUAAUAUAUUUAAUGAUAAUAUUUUAAACGUUUUUACAAAAAUAAUUAUCGGAGCAAGUAAUUGAAAUCUACAGUCCAUAAUUGAAACCAAAUGUAAUAAAAAUGACUAUUAUUGUAGUGUAAGUACAAAAUAUAUAAAAAUUAACAAAUGAAGCCAAAAAUAUCAGUAAUAAAGCUAUGACCAUAGCAAAUCAUAUAAUCCGAUGGUCAUCAUAACCGCACUCUUUUAUACAGUUUCCUCAAAAUUAUACCGUUCAAUACCGCACACAUUUUACUUUGUGUCCUAUCAUGCGUGGUUCACCCAACAAAUCAAAGGUUAUUUUCGAUUAAAAUUAUCCGAGUAAACACAGCGAGCGAGUGACCACAUUGGGUCUCUAAUUUCACCUGUAAUGCUUCUCACUUCCAAGCAAAUGUGUGCGGUUUUGAAUUAUGGAUCUUUCAAAUUUCCAUUUUUAAUAUUAGACAAAAUGCAUGCGGUUAUGAACGGUAAGUGUGCCGUUUUCAACGACGCCCAUGUACUCGUAUAGCCUACGCCGGAUGCCGGUUAUAGAUAACAAAAAUUCUUGAUAAUAAUCAUAUGGAAAAUUUCUUAAAUGCUAUAGAAUAUAAUAUUAUACGUUUUAAAUAAAUACAUUUUUUUUUAUAGGUACCUAUAUAUUUUUUUACACUCGUAAAUAUAUAUAAGUGUCUUCUAAGUUUUAAGUGACU